CAUAGGGAAGUGAGCCAUGGGUUUUGGAGCAAAUCAGUGAACUGCAAGUACCGAAGGACUGCAAUCCAGAGUAGCAUUUAUUGCUAAGGAGGUAUUACUGGGCCCUAUCUUUGGCCAUCCUAGUCUUGCUGGAGAUGAACUUUUGGGAGAAGAAACUCAUGCUUGAGAGUUAGUUUUUCUCCUGUCAACUUGGUCUAAAUAUCUAUCUCCCUAGCGAUUGCAGUGUUCCAGACCAUUCCAAGAGCUCUCUCCAUGGAAGGGUAGGCUAGUCACUUACCAAAUCAAUGGUCAGUAGUGUUUUCUUGAUAAUGUAAUGAGAAAGUUGGUCUUGGUUGAAUCUGUGGAAGCGUAGAUUCAGUAAAUUUAAUAAAUUAGUUAAUUUAUGGCCUCUGGUUAAGAUGUCUAACAUCUGACCUCUUUAUCUGAUAGGUAGAAUUAAUUUGGUAGAUGCUUAUUUAGCAGUGACUCUGAAGAAGGCUAUGGAGGUGGUAAAAGCUAAAGGAGAUACUUCUCUUGCCUUCAAGAGUAUGCAAUCCAAAUGGUGUAUUAGCAUCCAUACCCAAAUAACUUACAUUACAUAAGGCAUAUGUCCUGUAUAUUUAAGCAUCACAACAGUCCUGUGAAUUGGGUAUUAUUUACGCAGCUUUGCCUCAGUGCAAAGUUUUUCUUUUAUCUAUACCUCAGUUUGGUUUCUGUAAAAUGAAAUGUUAGAUUAAUAACGAUAAUAACAAUGGCUAACAUUUAUAGGGUAGGAUUGUUUGUCAAGAGCUCUGGAACCAUUAGCUAAUUUAAUCCUCACAGCAACUCUGUGAAUUCUAUUCCCCUUUACAGAAAUGCAGUGGGCUUAAGUAACAUGCCCACGGUCAGAGUUGGAACUCACAUCAUCUGGCCCCAAACCCAGUGCUCUUUCCAAGAUGCCAUGCAGCUUUUCCUUCUGGAUGGCUCAUCUCCUUUCUCAUCUAUAAAACCACUCUUUCUUCUGAACUUCAAACAGCUGUUGGUCGUCUCCAGUGAGACAAGAUACAAGAGAGUUCCUUGUGGAUGACUCCACAGUGUAAGGCCAGGUCAUUAACAUGGGAAGGAGAGAAUCAGGUUCAUACGACUCUGAGACAAAGAAAGAGGAAAGAAGUGGACUUGAAUCUCCAUGUUGACAGGUAAGAAGAGACACUUUAUGGCCCAAAUGAUAAAGUAGAGUGUUCAAACUACUUUAGUUAAGUGGCCCAUCCAGCGGAGUACCAAAGAAACACUCUUCUGAAGGCGCCUGUUAAGUGAUAUUCCUGGUCAUUGUCAACGUGGAAAUCCCAGAGCAGGGCAGUAACAUUCACUCUCUUCAUUAACAUUCCCCCCUGCUCUCAGUUUGCAUCUCUCUAUCCAUUUUCUAACUCUGAAUGGAAGUUUCCUGGGAAACCUUUUCUAUGAAUGGAAUGUAUGAAGUUUGUCCCAUGAGAGAAAAAUUAAAAACAACAACAACAAAAGAAAAAACAAAAAAAUGAAAAACCAACACACAGGGAACUACGACACAAAACUUCUUCCCCUGAAUUACUGCAGUCAGGAACAGACCACACCUAUCUUUUUUUAAGGAUGGGUGGAGAUUCUGAUCCUCUGGCAUUCAGUAAUACUAAGAAUAUUGCUCCCUUAAUUUAACGGCAGAGCUUCCUUUCUACUGAUGAAAAAAAAUUAAAAGGGGUUUAAGAUGACUUAGGUAAAAAGAACUGCGGUGGAGUGUUCUCAGUCUCAGAUAAGCAUCCGCUCUUUCUGAUCUGCUCUAUUGUCCGCAAGGUAAUGGCUCAGUUUGUGCAUUGUUCUCCCUGUGCCAGACAGGAGGGAGAGUAAACCUUAUCCACAGGGUCCUAUUACCAGCAGACACCCCCUCCAGUCAGUGGGAGCUCUGGGGACACAGUUCAUUCACCAAUUGAAGGGGAACAGCCAGCAUUUGCACAAGUUACUCAAAUACCCUAUCUCCAAUAAACAUUGAGCUUUUGUGUGUACA
rnacentral:lncRNA from 1 species